rnacentral:rRNA from 1 species
CCCCGGUAAACGGCGGCCGUAACUAUAACGGUCCUAAGGUAGCGAAAUUCCUUGUCGGGUAAGUUCCGACCUGCACGAAUGGCGUAAUGAUGGCCAGGCUGUCUCCACCCGAGACUCAGUGAAAUUGAACUCGCUGUGAAGAUGCAGUGUACCCGCGGCAAGACGGAAAGACCCCGUGAACCUUUACUAUAGCUUGACACUGAACAUUGAGCCUUGAUGUGUAGGAUAGGUGGGAGGCUUUGAAGUGUGGACGCCAGUCUGCAUGGAGCCGACCUUGAAAUACCACCCUUUAAUGUUUGAUGUUCUAACGUGGACCCGUAAUCCGGG